UCCUGGUCCCCUUUGAGGAAGUAAAAGUUGUAACNAGGUUUNCGUAGGUGAACCUGCGGAAGGAUCAUUAUCGAGAGGGGGGCUCCGCGCCCCCGGAGGCUCCGGCCUCUGACUCCACACCCUCUGUAUAUACACUAUAUACCGUUGCUUUGGCGGGCGCUGGCCCGCCGGAGACCGAUCAACAUCCGAUUUAUUGGUGCCGUCCGAGUGAAAUCACAAUCGUUAAAAACUUUCAACAACGGAUCUCUUGGUUCCAGCAACGAUGAAGAACGCAGCGAAAUGCGAUACGUAAUGUGAAUUGCAGAAUUCAGUGAAUCAUCGAAUCUUUGAACGCAUAUUGCGCCCCUCGGCAUUCCGGGGGGCAUGCCUGUUCGAGCGUCAUUUCACCCCUCAAGCUCAGCUUGGUCUUGGGCGCUCGCCGUCUACGGCGUGCCCGAAAAUCAUAGGCGGUCCAGGGUGGCUUCCGGCGCAUUAAAAUAAUCAACGCCCGCGAAGACCCCCCCGUGGCUGGCCGAUCAACUCCCAUAGCGGACUUUAGUAAUUGACCUCGGAUCAGGUAGGGAUACCCGCUGAACUUAAGCAUAUCUAAGGCGGGA
rnacentral:rRNA from 1 species